rnacentral:rRNA from 1 species
AUUGAACGCUGGCGGGAGGCUUAACACAUGCAAGUCGAACGAGUGGCGGACGGGUGAGUAAUGCAUGGGAAUCUGGCCAAUGGCGGGGGAUAACUACGGGAAACUGUGGCUAAUACCGCGUACCAUAGGAGGGGCCGAAGUGGGAUUAGGUAGUUGGUGGGGUAAUGGCCUACCAAGGCAACGAUCCGUAGCUGGUCUGAGAGGAUGACCAGCCACACUGGGACUGAGACACGGCCCAGACUCCUACGGGAGGCAGCAGUGGGGAAUUUUGGGCAAUGGGGGAAACCUGACGCAGCCAUGCCGCGUGUAUGAUGAAGGCCUUCGGGUUGUAAAGUUCUUUCGGUGGCGAGGCGUUAUCCACAGAAGAAGCACCGGCUAACUCCGUGCCAGCAGCCGCGGUAAUAC